UACGGAGGGUGCAAGCGUUAUCCGGAUUUACUGGGUUUAAGGGUGUGUAGGCGGGCUUUUAAGUCAGUGGUGAAAUCUCCGGGCUCAACCUGGAAACUGCCAUUGAUACUAUUAGUCUUGAAUUUUGUUGAGGUAGGCGGAAUAAGUCAUGUAGCGGUGAAAUGCAUAGAUAUGACUUAGAACACCAAUUGCGAAGGCAGCUUGCUAAACAAAUAUUGACGCUGAGGCACGAAAGCGUGGGGAUCAAACAGG
rnacentral:rRNA from 1 species